UGGGGAAUAUUGCACAAUGCGCGCAAGCCUGAUGCAGCCAUGCCGCGUGUAUGAAGACGGCCUUAGGGUUGUAAAGUACUUUCAGCGGGGAGGAAGGUGAUAAGGUUAAUACCCUUGUCAAUUGACGUUACCCGCAGAAGAAGCACCGGCUAACUCCGUGCCAGCAGCCGCGGUAAUACGGAGGGUGCAAGCGUUAAUCGGAAUUACUGGGCGUAAAGCGCACGCAGGCGGUCAAUUAAGUCAGAUGUGAAAGCCCCGAGCUUAACUUGGGAAUUGCAUCUGAAACUGGUUGGCUAGAGUCUUGUAGAGGGGGGUAGAAUUCCAUGUGUAGCGGUGAAAUGCGUAGAGAUGUGGAGGAAUACCGGUGGCGAAGGCGGCCCCCUGGACAAAGACUGACGCUCAGGUGCGAAAGCGUGGGGAGCAAACA
rnacentral:rRNA from 1 species